GAGAAGAACGUAGCGAAAUGCGAUAAGUAGUGUGAAUUGCAGAAUUCAGUGAAUCAUCGAAUCUUUGAACGCACAUUGCGCCCCUUGGUAUUCCAUGGGGCAUGCCUGUUCGAGCGUCAUUUGUACCUUCAAGCUUUGCUUGGUGUUGGGUGUUUGUCCCUCGGGACUCGCCUUAAAGUCAUUGGCAGCCAGUGUUUUGGUUUUGAAGCGCAGCACAAGUCGCGAUUCAAGGCUAUCCGCCCGCUUCCACAAGCCUUUUUCACUUUUGACCUCGGAUCAGGUAGGGAUACCCGCUGAACUUAAGCAUAUCAAUAAGCGGAGGA
rnacentral:misc_RNA from 1 species